UCGGGGUGUAGUGGCGCACGGGUGCGUAACGCGUCGGGAGACCUGCCUUUAGGUGCGGAAUAACAGUUAGAAAUGACUGCUAAUACCGGAUAAUGUCUUCGGACCAAAGAUUUAUUGCCUUUAGAUGGGCCCGCGUAGGAUUAGAUAGUUGGUGGGGUAAUGGCCUACCAAGUCGACGAUCCAUAGCUGGUCUGAGAGGAUGAUCAGCCACACUGGGACUGAGACACGGCCCAGACUCCUACGGGAGGCAGCAGUGGGGAAUAUUGGACAAUGGGCGAAAGCCUGAUCCAGCAAUGCCGCGUGAGUGAUGAAGGCCUUAGGGUUGUAAAGCUCUUUUACCAGGGAUGAUAAUGACAGUACCUGGAGAAUAAGCUCCGGCUAACUCCGUGCCAGCAGCCGCGGUAAUACGGAGGGAGCUAGCGUUGUUCGGAAUUACUGGGCGUAAAGCGCACGUAGGCGGCUUUUCAAGUCAGGGGUGAAAUCCCGGGGCUCAACCCCGGAACUGCCCUUGAAACUGGAUGGCUAGAAUACUGGAGAGGUGAGUGGAAUUCCGAGUGUAGAGGUGAAAUUCGUAGAUAUUCGGAAGAACACCAGUGGCGAAGGCGACUCACUGGACAGUUAUUGACGCUGAGGUGCGAAAGCGU
rnacentral:rRNA from 1 species